rnacentral:rRNA from 1 species
UACAGAGGGCUCAAGCGUUGUUCGGAUUCAUUGGGCGUAAAGGGUGCGUAGGUGGCGGGGCAAGUCAGGUGUGAAAUCUCGGGGCUCAACCCCGAAACUGCACUUGAUACUGCCUUGCUCGAGUACUGGAGAGGAGACUGGAAUUUACGGUGUAGCAGUGAAAUGCGUAGAUAUCGUAAGGAAGACCAGUGGCGAAGGCGAGUCUCUGGACAGUUACUGACACUGAGGCACGAAGGCCAGGGGAGCAAACGGG